rnacentral:rRNA from 1 species
AUGAACGCUUGCGGCGUGCCUAAUACAUGCAAGUCGAGCGAACGGACGAGAAGCUUGCUUCUCUGAUGUUAGCGGCGGACGGGUGAGUAACACGUGGAUAACCUACCUAUAAGACUGGGAUAACUUCGGGAAACCGGAGCUAAUACCGGAUGAUAUUUUGAACCGCAUGGUUCAAAAGUGAAAGACGGUCUUGCUGUCACUUAUAGAUGGAUCCGCGCUGCAUUAGCUAGUUGGUAAGGUAACGGCUUACCAAGGCAACGAUGCAUAGCCGACCUGAGAGGGUGAUCGGCCACACUGGAACUGAGACACGGUCCAGACUCCUACGGGAGGCAGCAGUAGGGAAUCUUCCGCAAUGGGCGAAAGCCUGACGGAGCAACGCCGCGUGAGUGAUGAAGGUCUUCGGAUCGUAAAACUCUGUUAUUAGGGAAGAACAUAUGUGUAAGUAACUGUGCACAUCUUGACGGUACCUAAUCAGAAAGCCACGGCUAACUACGUG